rnacentral:rRNA from 1 species
GACGAACGCUGGCGGCGUGCCUAAUACAUGCAAGUCGAACGCAGUGGGGACGGGUGAGUAACACGUGGGUAACCUCCCAUCAGAGGGGAUAACACUUGGAAACAGGUGCUAAACCGAUCCUGAUGGAUGGACCCGCGGUGCAUUAGCUAGUUGGUGAUGUAACGGCUCACCAAGGCCACGAUGCAUCACUGACCUGACAGGGUGAUCGGACACAACGCAAAUAGGAAACUGCCCAGACUCCUACGGGAGGCAGCAGGAGGGAAUCUUCGGGAAUGGACAAAAGGCUGAACGAGCAACGCCGCAUGAGUGAAGAAGGUUUUCGGAUCGUAAAACUCUGUGGUUAGAGAAGCGGUAUCUAACCAGAAAGCCACGGCUAACUACGUGCCAGCCGCCGCGGUAAUAC